rnacentral:rRNA from 1 species
GAGUUUGAUCCUGGCUCACAACGAACGCUGGCGGCAUGCCUAACACAUGCAAGUCGAACGAACCCUUCGGGGUUAGUGGCGCACGGGUGCGUAACGCGUGGGAACCUGCCUUUAGGUUCGGAAUAACUCAGAGAAAUUUGAGCUAAUACCGGAUAAUGUCUUCGGACCAAAGAUUUAUCGCCUUUAGAUGGGCCCGCGUUAGAUUAGAUAGUUGGUGGGGUAAUGGCCUACCAAGUCGACGAUCUAUAGCUGGUCUGAGAGGAUGAUCAGCCACACUGGGACUGAGACACGGCCCAGACUCCUACGGGAGGCAGCAGUGGGGAAUAUUGGACAAUGGGCGAAAGCCUGAUCCAGCAAUGCCGCGUGAGUGAUGAAGGCCUUAGGGUUGUAAAGCUCUUUUACCAGGGAUGAUAAUGACAGUACCUGGAGAAUAAGCUCCGGCUAACUCCGUGCCAGCAGCCGCGGUAAUACGGAGGGAGCUAGCGUUGUUCGGAAUUACUGGGCGUAAAGCGCGCGUAGGCGGCUUUUCAAGUCAGGGGUGAAAUCCCGGGGCUCAACCUCGGAACUGCCCUUGAAACUGGAUGGCUAGAAUACUGGAGAGGUGAGUGGAAUUCCGAGUGUAGAGGUGAAAUUCGU